rnacentral:rRNA from 1 species
UACGUAGGGGGCAAGCGUUGUCCGGAUUUAUUGGGCGUAAAGAGCGUGUAGGCGGCCAUGCAGGUCAGCUGUGAAAACUCGAGGCUCAACCUCGAGACGUCGGUUGAAACCGCAUGGCUAGAGUCCGGAAGAGGAGAGUGGAAUUCCCGGUGUAGCGGUGAAAUGCGCAGAUAUCGGGAAGAACACCCGUGGCGAAGGCGGCUCUCUGGGCCGUUACUGACGCUGAGGAGCGAAAGCGUGGGGAGCGAACAGG